rnacentral:tRNA from 1 species
GCACCAUUAGCUCAGCCGGUAGAGCAACUGACUCUUAAUCAGUGGGUCUCAGGUUCGAAUCCUGAAUGGUGUA